UACGUAGGGGGCAAGCGUUGCUCGGAAUCACUGGGCGUAAAGGGUGCGUAGGCGGGUCUUUAAGUCAGGGGUGAAAUCCUAGAGCUCAACUCCAGAACUGCCUUUGAUACUGAGGAUCUUGAGUUCGGGAGAGGUGAGUGGAACUGCGAGUGUAGAGGUGAAAUUCGUAGAUAUUCGCAAGAACACCAGUGGCGAAGGCGGCUCACUGGCCCGAUACUGACGCUGAGGCACGAAAGCGUGGGGAGCAAACAGGGAUU
rnacentral:rRNA from 1 species